GAUGAACGCUGGCGGCGUGCUUAACACAUGCAAGUCGAACGGAAAGGCCCAAGCUUGCUAGGGUACUCGAGUGGCGAACGGGUGAGUAACACGUGGGUGAUCUGCCCUGCACUUCGGGAUAAGCCUGGGAAACUGGGUCUAAUACUGGAUAGGACCACUUCUUGGAUGGUGUGGUGGAAAGUUUUUUCGGUGUGGGAUGAGCUCGCGGCCUAUCAGCUUGUUGGUGGGGUAAUGGCCUACCAAGGCGUCGACGGGUAGCCGGCCUGAGAGGGUGUACGGCCACAUUGGGACUGAGAUACGGCCCAGACUCCUACGGGAGGCAGCAGUGGGGAAUAUUGCACAAUGGGCGCAAGCCUGAUGCAGCGACGCCGCGUGGGGGAUGACGGCCUUCGGGUUGUAAACUCCUUUCGCUAGGGACGAAGCGUUUUUGUGACGGUACCUGGAGAAGAAGCACCGGCUAACUACGUG
rnacentral:rRNA from 1 species